rnacentral:rRNA from 1 species
CCUACGGGUGGCAGCAGUGAGGAAUAUUGGUCAAUGGACGAGAGUCUGAACCAGCCAAGUAGCGUGAAGGAUGACUGCCCUAUGGGUUGUAAACUUCUUUUAUAAAGGAAUAAAACGAGGCACGUGUGCCUUUUUGCAUGUACUUUAUGAAUAAGGAUCGGCUAACUCCGUGCCAGCAGCCGCGGUAAUACGGAGGAUCCGAGAGUUAUCCGGAUUUAUUGGGUUUAAAGGGAGCGUAGGUGGGUUGUUAAGUCAGUUGUGAAAGUUUGCGGCUCAACCGUAAAAUUGCAGUUGAUACUGGCAGUCGUGAGUACAGUUGAGGUAGGCGGAAUGCGUGGUGUAGCGGUGAAAUGCUUAGAUAUCACGAAGAACCCCGAUUGCGAAGGCAGCUUACUAAACUGUGACUGACAUUGAUGCUCGAAAGUGUGGGUAUCAAACAGGAUUAGAUACCCGGGUAGUC